rnacentral:tRNA from 1 species
GCGGGUAUAGUUCAGUCGGUAGAACACCUCCUUGCCAAGGAGGAUGUCGCGCGUUCGAGUCGCGUUACCCGCU